ACGGGUGAGUAACGCGUGGGAACGUGCCCUUCGGUUCGGAAUAACUCAGGGAAACUUGAGCUAAUACCGGAUACGCCCUUUUGGGGAAAGGCUUGACUGCCGAAGGAUCGGCCCGCGUCUGAUUAGCUAGUUGGUGAGGUUACGGCUCACCAAGGCGACGAUCAGUAGCUGGUCUGAGAGGAUGAUCAGCCACACUGGGACUGAGACACGGCCCAGACUCCUACGGGAGGCAGCAGUGGGGAAUAUUGGACAAUGGGGGCAACCCUGAUCCAGCCAUGCCGCGUGAGUGAUGACGGCCUUAGGGUUGUAAAGCUCUUUUCUCCGGGACGAUAAUGACGGUACCGGAGGAAUAAGCCCCGGCUAACUUCGUGCCAGCAGCCGCGGUAAUACGAAGGGGGCUAGCGUUGCUCGGAAUCACUGGGCGUAAAGGGCGCGUAGGCGGCUGAUUUAGUCGAGGGUGAAAGCCCGUGGCUCAACCACGGAAUGGCCUUCGAUACUGGUUGGCUUGAGACCGGAAGAGGACAGCGGAACUGCGAGU
rnacentral:rRNA from 1 species